GAUGAACGCUGGCGGCGUGCCUAAUACAUGCAAGUCGAGCGAACGGACGAGAAGCUUGCUUCUCUGAUGUUAGCGGCGGACGGGUGAGUAACACGUGGAUACCUACCUAUAAGACUGGGAUAACUUCGGGAAACCGGAGCUAAUACCGGAUAAUAUUUUGAACCGCAUGGUUCAAAAGUGAAAGACGGUCUUGCUGUCACUUAUAGAUGGAUCCGCGCUACAUUAGCUAGUUGGUAAGGUAACGGCUUACCAAGGCAACGAUGCAUAGCCGACCUGAGAGGGUGAUCGGCCACACUGGAACUGAGACACGGUCCAGACUCCUACGGGAGGCAGCAGUAGGGAAUCUUCCGCAAUGGGCGAAAGCCUGACGGAGCAACGCCGCGUGAGUGAUGAAGGUCUUCGGAUCGUAAAACUCUGUUAUUAGGGAAGAACAUAUGUGUAAGUAACUGUGCACAUCUUGACGGUACCUAAUCAGAAAGCCACGGCUAACUACGUG
rnacentral:rRNA from 1 species